AUGGAUGGAAGAACGGCGUUGGGCGGUCGCAUUUUCGUUUUCCAGCAAGCAAAGCGCAAGCAUGGGCAGAAAGAAGCGUUUUCGCUGUUCGUUUGGCACAUUUGCACAAUCAAACGGCUCAAAUGUCCACUGAAACUGAAACUAUGAGAUAAUCUGAAAGGGUUAUUAUUUGGAAAUGUAGAGACGACCUGCGGUACGCAAACGACCAUGCUGAAGUCAAUUGAUUUUGGAGCCCAUGCAGCAUUUUUUAAGUUGGAUAUUAUGAGGCUGGAAACUUGAAAACAGAAUGACUCGGAGGCCGUCCAACGAACGAAAAGUUUUUGAGAAGCGUUAGAAAGAGCGCAAUAUUGGUCUAUCACUACAGCAAUGUCAGCAAUACAUCCUAAUUUUGAGCUUCAAGGCCUUAUAUGUUCCAGUGUUAUGCCUUUGGACUGAGAACAAAAUCCGAUUGGAGAAAAUUGAUUGAAGUGAGUAAUGGCAUUUGAUUUUUAAAUUCUUAUGCUAUAAUAUAUGAUGAUUUUUCACUAGAUAGGGA